ensembl:lncRNA
AGAUGCUGAACUGCUGGUUUCUUGGUGCUUCCAGUCUUCACAGGUCUAAGUUUUUCUGAUAUAGUAGGAAAUUGCUUGGGUCUCCUGAACCGAGGGGCUCAGGUCUGGUCUUCCUCCUUAUCGCUAUCACCUUGUCCUUGGCCACAUGGAGGUGGCUUCCUACAGUUGAUGAGAAGCUGGCUUUCUCGUGCAAAGAGCCUUGUUCUUCCCAAACCAGGGCAGGUAAGUGGAGGCUGGGGAUUCCUGAGGGGUUCCUCUCACUAACGAUGAAGUAGAGAAGGUUUGUGGUGGGGGUGUGUGGAGGUACCCGAACACCCCAAGUGCUGAGAACGGGAGGCGGGAGUGAGGUACGGACAGAGGUUCUGCUAAAUUCUGGAGGCCACCACCUAGAUCCAGA